AGUGCGUAGUGGUUCGUUAUUGCUUACAGAAUCAUGCUUUAAUCUUACCACCACAUAUGUGUCAAGAGCUACUCAAAAUAACCUGUAGAGAAUGUAUAAUACUGCUGCUACCUUGUUCUAAAGACACCUAACAGUGCACUUUAUAACCUGCCAUACUGUGGAAUGGCAGUAUUUGGAUAUAAUUGGGAUGUACCUUGCACGAUGGCCAAGGUCUUUAGUAUCAGCAUGCAGUGACUAAUUUUCAUUCACUUCAUGGUGACUUCAAAAUAAGAUUGCACAUCUUGACUGCCCCCAAUUUUUUUCCUUUAUAUACUGCAAAAUUGAAAGUUGUCCAAUUUUGCCCAUUCUUAAGCCUCAGUAGGGCUUCACCCCCCAGGUUCCCCACACCAAAAUUUUCUCAGGGUCACCAGUAACUCCAUAUAUCUAGUAGGUUUUGUUCCUCCUGUAGGCAGCAUUUGACAAGUUGGACUCAUUCCUUGAAAGUGUUAACUUGUUCCCAGGACACCUCCUUUUUCUUGCUUUUCAGUUUCCAAUGGGAGAUGCCUGAUCUCAACACUUUUUCAGUUGCUGUCAUACUCUGCAUCCAGUCUAGCAUCAAAUCAUGUUGAUUGCAUUCCAAACAUUUUAGAAAUUGAACAACUUGCUUCAACCACCACCCUCAUUUCUCACCUAGGUACCAGAGUAGCCUUAACUGGCCUUCCUGCUUAGCCCUCGCCUCCAUUUUGUCUUCUCAACACAGCACCACUUGGCUCAAAACCCACCAAAUGGCGUCCCACCUAGUGGGAUUUUUAUGUCAAAAUACUUAAUUCGGUCUACAUCGCCCUGCAUCUGAUUUCCUUACCCCUCUCCCCAUCGUUGCCCCACGACCUGUUUCUCUGAUCUAAUUUCCUACUGCUGGCACUUAAUCCUUCUGCUCCCACCACACUGGCCUUGCUGCUCCUAGGACAUGCCAAGCAUCUUCUUACCUUGGAGGUUUUAUGUUCCUCCUUUCUUCUGGAUAAUUGGAUGACUGGCUUUCUCCCCUUCCUCAGGUCUUGGCUCAAACGUCACUUUUAUUAGUAAAGUCCUCAUUGUCAAUUCUGAUAACCUCCUGCAGAUCAUAAAGGGCAGGAAAGAAAUUCACAUAUAUUUUAAAAACUAAGCACAUCCUCAUCCCUCUUUUUGUAUCUCCAUGUCUCAUUACGUGACAUACUGCAUGUUUAUAUCAUUCCUGCUAGAAUAUGAACAGCAUGAAGUAUUUGACAGUUUUUUUCACUGCUGCAUUUCCAGCAUCUAGAACAGUGCCCAGUAAACACUCAAAUAUUUGUUCAACCUAAUCAUGAAUUAAUAAAAUUAUCCUACAUGGCAGGAUGUGGACAUAGAGGAAAGAAGUAGUGGAAAGACCUCAGACUCAAGUUGUAGAUCGAUCUAGGGAUAAUCUCUACCACUUACCAGCAGGGUGAUCUUAGGUAAGAUUUUUUUAUCUGAGUCUUGAUUAUUUUAGAAAUUGUUUUAGAAAAUUUAGCUUGGGCAACAUGGGGAAACUCCGUGUCUACAAAAAAAAAAAAAAAAAAAAAAAA
ensembl:lncRNA